CUACGGGAGGCAGCAGUGGGGAAUAUUGCACAAUGGGCGCAAGCCUGAUGCAGCAACGCCGCGUGAGGGAUGACGGCCUUCGGGUUGUAAACCUCUUUUGGUAGGGAAGAAGCCUUCGGGUGACGGUACCUGCAGAAAAAGCGCCGGCUAACUACGUGCCAGCAGCCGCGGUAAUACGUGGGCGCAAGCGUUAUCCGGAAUUAUUGGGCGUAAAGAGCUCGUAGGCGGUCUGUCGCGUCUGCUGUGAAAUUCCGAGGCUCAACCUCGGGCUUGCAGUGGGUACGGGCAGACUAGAGUGCGGUAGGGGAGAUUGGAAUUCCUGGUGUAGCGGUGGAAUGCGCAGAUAUCAGGAGGAACACCGAUGGCGAAGGCAGAUCUCUGGGCCGUUACUGACGCUGAGGAGCGAAAGGGUGGGGAGCAAACAGGCUUAGAUACCCUGGUAGUCCACCCCGUAAACGUUGGGAACUAGUUGUGGGGUCCUUUCCACGGAUUCCGUGACGUAGCUAACGCAUUAAGUUCCCCGCCUGGGGGARUACGG
rnacentral:rRNA from 1 species